AUUGAACGCUGGCGGCAUGCCUUACACAUGCAAGUCGAACGGCAGCACGGGAGCAAUCCUGGUGGCGAGUGGCGAACGGGUGAGUAAUGUAUCGGAACGUGCCCAGGCGUGGGGGAUAACGUAGCGAAAGCUACGCUAAUACCGCAUACGAUCUGUGGAUGAAAGCGGGGGACCGUAAGGCCUCCCGCGCUUGGAGCGGCCGAUAUCAGAUUAGGUAGUUGGUGGGGUAAAGGCCUACCAAGCCGACGAUCUGUAGCUGGUCUGAGAGGACGACCAGCCACACUGGGACUGAGACACGGCCCAGACUCCUACGGGAGGCAGCAGUGGGGAAUUUUGGACAAUGGGCGCAAGCCUGAUCCAGCAAUGCCGCGUGCAGGAUGAAGGCCUUCGGGUUGUAAACUGCUUUUGUACGGAGCGAAAAGGCUCUCUCUAAUACAGGGGGCUCAUGACGGUACCGUAAGAAUAAGCACCGGCUAACUACGUGCCAGCCGCCGCGGUAA
rnacentral:rRNA from 1 species